CCGGACGAGAAGGCGAGUGCAGGUACAGAAACCAAAUCUCAUUUUUGGGUCGAGGAUCGAAGAAAUAUAUUCAGGGAAAUCGUUUGACGAA
rnacentral:ribozyme from 1 species